GUAGGUGAACCUGCGGAAGGAUCAUUAACACGAAUCGAAAAAGGGAUCUAAAAAUCCCUUUUAUCUUAUACACCCCUUUUUGAAUGAACGUUGAUUUUCCCUUCUUUAUUCCAACCUUUUUUUACCCCAAUCUACCAAAACAUGCGAUAGACUGAAAUCAUUUUUUUUGAAAAAAACAAAACAAAAACAAAAAAACAACUCUUAGCAACGGAUAUCUUGGCUCUC
rnacentral:misc_RNA from 1 species